rnacentral:rRNA from 1 species
GGAGUUAGCCGGUGCUUCUUCUGUGAGUGAUGUCCUUCCUGCCGGCUAUUAACCCGCAGGCCUUCUUCCUCACUGAAAGUGCUUUACAACCCGAAGGCCUUCUUCACACACGCGGCAUGGCUGGAUCAGGGUUGCCCCCAUUGUCCAAUAUUCCCCACUGCUGCCUCCCGUAGGAGUCUGGGCCGUGUCUCAGUCCCAGUGUGGCUGAUCAUCCUCUCAGACCAGCUACGGAUCGUCGCCUUGGUGAGCCGUUACCUCACCAACCAGCUAAUCCGACAUAGGCUCAUCCGAUAGCGCGAGGCCCGAAGGUCCCCCGCUUUCCCCCGUAGGGCGUAUGCGGUAUUAGCCUGGGUUUCCCCAGGUUAUCCCCCACUACCGGGCAGAUUCCUAUGCAUUACUCACCCGUCCGCCGCUCGCCACCAGGGAGCAAGCUCCCCGUGCUGCCGCUCGACUUGCAUGUGUUAGGCCUGCCGCCAGCGUUCAAUCUGAGCCAGUGAUACAAACUCUGA